rnacentral:rRNA from 1 species
CGGCGGCAGGCCUAACAAUGCAAGUCGAGCGGUAGAGAGAAGCUUGCUUCUCUUGAGAGCGGCGGACGGGUGAGUAAUGCCUAGGAAUCUGCCUGGUAGUGGGGGAUAACGUUCGGAAACGGACGCUAAUACCGCAUACGUCCUACGGGAGAAAGCAGGGGACCUUCGGGCCUUGCGCUAUCAGAUGAGCCUAGGUCGGAUUAGCUAGUUGGUGAGGUAAUGGCUCACCAAGGCGACGAUCCGUAACUGGUCUGAGAGGAUGAUCAGUCACACUGGAACUGAGACACGGUCCAGACUCCUACGGGAGGCAGCAGUGGGGAAUAUUGGACAAUGGGCGAAAGCCUGAUCCAGCCAUGCCGCGUGUGUGAAGAAGGUCUUCGGAUUGUAAAGCACUUUAAGUUGGGAGGAAGGGUUGUAGAUUAAUACUCUGCAAUUUUGACGUUACCGACAGAAUAAGCACCGGCUAACUCUGUGCCAGCAGCCGCGGUAAUACAGAGGGUGCAAGCGUUAAUCGGAAUUACUGGGCGUAAAGCGCGCGUAGGUGGUUUGUUAAGUUGGAUGUGAAAUCCCCGGGCUCAACCUGGGAACUGCAUUCAAAACUGACUGACUAGAGUAUGGUAGAGGGUGGUGGAAUUUCCUGUGUAGCGGUGAAAUGCGUAGAUAUAGGAAGGAACACCAGUGGCGAAGGCGACCACCUGGACUAAUACUGACACUGAGGUGCG